rnacentral:rRNA from 1 species
AUUGAACGCUGGCGGCAUGCCUUACACAUGCAAGUCGAACGGUAACAGGUCUUCGGAUGCUGACGAGUGGCGAACGGGUGAGUAAUACAUCGGAACGUGCCCGAGAGUGGGGGAUAACGAGGCGAAAGCUUUGCUAAUACCGCAUACGAUCUCGGGAUGAAAGCAGGGGACCGCAAGGCCUUGCGCUCACGGAGCGGCCGAUGGCAGAUUAGGUAGUUGGUGGGAUAAAAGCUUACCAAGCCGACGAUCUGUAGCUGGUCUGAGAGGACGACCAGCCACACUGGGACGGAGACACGGCCCAGACUCCUACGGGAGGCAGCAGUGGGGAAUUUUGGGCAAUGGGCGCAAGCCUGAUCCAGCAAUGCCGCGUGCAGGAUGAAGGCCUUCGGGUUGUAAACUGCUUUUGUACGGAACGAAAAGCCCUGGGUUAAUACCCUGGGGUCAUGACGGUACCGUAAGAAUAAGCACCGGCUAACUACGUGCCAGCCGCCGCCGUAACAC